GAAGAUGAGUGUAAACAGGAAAGAAAUACGUAUCUCCUGGAAUAUGCAGUUCCUGAUACCAGUGGGAAAUGAGUAGAAGACCACACUGAACUUUAUCAGGUGUUUCUUUGUUUCUUCCAUACAGAAGUGUUCUGCAGAUGAGAACUGCUCUCAUUCGAGCAGUUCUAAUGGUGUGUCUGGCAGGGAGGGAAAGCAUCCUCAGAGACAUUUCUCUCUGU
rnacentral:lncRNA from 1 species